UUUUGAUAAUCACUCUAAAUCCAAUCUCUAACAAUAGUCCUUUAUAAAAAUGCAAUUAUCUCAGCUUUUUGUUCAAAAUGUGGUAUUUUUGAAGAAACCCACCCAUAUUUAAGAGGUGAUAAAAAGAGAACAAAUAAAGAUAGGAUAAAACAGGGUUUUUUUAAAAGCAGAGGGUCUGUUCUUUUCAUUUGAUAUAUAUUGUUUAUAUAUUUAAAGAAAAAAAAAAUCUGGAAGGGAUUAAACUUGUGAAAAUCAUAAAUUCUGGCAUGGACUGACAACUUUUUAAAAAAAACGCUGGUGGGUAAAGAGUUAUUUUAUUUGUUGAAAUGUCAAAAACAAAAAUCGAAUAAUUAUGAUUUGCAAAAGGUAAUUCAAGAAAGACGACAAAGGAUCUUCUUCCCAGAGCCUUCUGAUGGUGUUCCUCUUAGAUUUAAAUUUCCAACUGGACAGUUAAAAACCAGAAGAUUUCUUCUGUCAGAAUCAAUUCAGAGAUUGUUUGAUUUUGUUGGGCAAGACAACUCAUCCACUGAAAUCUUUUCCAUAAGAGAAGCAACAGGUGUUCAGAUAGACAGCAAUACCCUGUCAGGAUCAAUUGAAGACCAUAACAUAAUGGGUUUCUCAACUCUUUACAUUCUGUGGACUGCUUCACCUGAAGAAGAGGUACCACCUCACAUGCAGAUGACCUCCUCUACUUCACCUCCACAGACAUCUGCUACUUCAAUCACAAACCCUAAUGCUUCCUCGCCUCCACACACAUCUGCUGCUUUAUCCACAAAUUCUGAUGCUCCUUUACCUCCAUGCAUGUCUGCUUCCUCACUUCCACGCACAUCUGCUCCAUCCGCACUUUUGGAUACUCCCUCACCUCCACGCACAUCUGCUCCUUUACCCACACUUUCUUAUAGUACCUUACCUCCAGGCACAGCUGCUGUCUCACCUUACUUUACUUACCAACAUGAUCAGAGGUCUCCUGCACCUUCACCUCCUGGAUCUCCUGACAUUUCUGGUUCUCAUUGGUCUCCUUCUCCUACACCUCCCAGCUGGUCUCCUAUAUCUGUUCCAACUACAACACUGGAAAAUGAUUGCACUGAGUAUGUUUUUUUAAAAUGUUUGUUUUGUAUUUCUUGCCGUUACAAAUAACUUAUUGCAGAAUUUUUUUUUUUUUUCCUUUACAGAACUCAACUGAAAAGUAUUUUGAUAAAGCUAGUCAGCAGAGUUGAUUUUACUAGCUGUCCUACCACCAAUCAAAUUAAUGUGUCCAGAGACAGAAUUUUUCAUGGGAGUGUUCAAGCAUUCAAACGCCGCCGAUUUGACCCUGCUGCAAAAUUAGACAUUGUUUUUGUUGACAAUGAGGGUGUCUUGGAGAGGGCUGUAGAUGAAGGAGGACCUUCUAGAGAAUAUUUCCGGUUACUGAUGAAAGCCAUACAGCAGUCAAAAAUCUUUGAAGGACCUGAACAAAAAAAAACAUUUGACCCUUGAUACACAUGGUAAGCAUUUUAAACUUUUAACUGUUUGUUCAAUUAAUUAUUUAAAAAAAUAAAAAUAAACAUCUGUAUUUUCUGUUUCA
ensembl:lncRNA